UACAGAGGGUGCAAGCGUUGUCCGGAUUUAUUGGGCGUAAAGAGCGUGUAGGCGGCUAGGUAGGUCCGUUGUGAAAACUCGAGGCUCAACCUCGAGAUGUCGGCGGAAACCAUUUGGCUAGAGUCCGGAAGAGGAAAGUGGAAUUCCUGGUGUAGCGGUGAAAUGCGCAGAUAUCAGGAAGAACACCCGUGGCGAAGGCGGCUUUCUGGGACGGUACUGACGCUGAGACGCGAAAGCGUGGGGAGCGAACAGG
rnacentral:rRNA from 1 species